rnacentral:rRNA from 1 species
CCUACGGGUGGCAGCAGUGAGGAAUAUUGGUCAAUGGGAGAGAUCCUGAACCAGCCAAGCCGCGUGAGGGAAGACGGCCCUAUGGGUUGUAAACCUCUUUUGUCGGAGAACAAAACCCGGGACGUGUCCCGGACUGCGUGUAUCCGAAGAAAAAGCAUCGGCUAACUCCGUGCCAGCAGCCGCGGUAAUACGGAGGAUGCGAGCGUUAUCCGGAUUUAUUGGGUUUAAAGGGUGCGUAGGCGGUCCGUUAAGUCAGCGGUAAAAGUGCGGGGCUCAACCCCGUCGAGCCGUUGAAACUGGCAGACUUGAGUUGGCGAGAGGUACGCGGAAUGCGCGGUGUAGCGGUGAAAUGCAUAGAUAUUAGGAAGAACACCAGUGGCGAAGGCGGCUUUCUGGACGGAAACUGACGCUGAGGCUCGAAAGCGUGGGGAGCGAACAGGAUUAGAUACCCCGGUAGUC